rnacentral:lncRNA from 1 species
UGCAAUUUAAAAAAAGAGUUAAUUUCAUAGAGUUACUUAUAAAUAUAAAAUAUAGUAAAUUUUAAAUAUAUUCUAUAAAAUUUAAUUUUUAUAUAUUAUUAAUAUAAAAAUUUUAAUAUUUUUAAAUAUAUCUUUCUGAUUUGUUAUCGUUAAAUUAUUAUUUAUUUUACAAGUGAAAUAAUAUCUUUGCAAUCACAAAUAUGCCCCUCUAAAAAUUCCAACGAUUAAUUAAAGAUGGGUAAAAAUAUUAAUUCACCUCAUUAACUAACUAGGGUUUAAUAUUUCACCAAUGAUUAACUAAUUUUUUGUAAUAGAUCAUAACGGCAGGAACAUAUUUGAAAAUAAUAGGAUUUUGCGAGAAUAAUAUAUGAAAGUAAAUUUUAUUAGAAUAUAUUUGUAAUAUUUAUUUUUAUUUAAUCUUAUUUAACUUUAAGAAAUUUUAUUUGAAUAUUUUUGUAAUUUAUUAUGUUUAUAUGGAUCGGGAUGAAAUUAAUCUUUUUAAAAAAAACCGUAAUGCCUUUCUAU